rnacentral:rRNA from 1 species
GCAGUCGAGGGGUGUAGGUUUUCGGACCUAGAGACCGGCGCACGGGUGCGUAACGCGUAUGCAAUCUACCUUUUACAGAGGGAUAGCCCAGAGAAAUUUGGAUUAAUACCUCAUAGUAUUAUUGAAUGGCAUCAUUUAAUAAUUAAAGUCACAACGGUAAAAGAUGAGCAUGCGUCCCAUUAGCUAGUUGGUAAGGUAACGGCUUACCAAGGCAACGAUGGGUAGGGGUCCUGAGAGGGAGAUCCCCCACACUGGUACUGAGACACGGACCAGACUCCUACGGGAGGCAGCAGUGAGGAAUAUUGGUCAAUGGGCGCAAGCCUGAACCAGCCAUGCCGCGUGCAGGAUGAAGCAUCUAUGGUGUGUAAACUGCUUUUGUACGAGAAGAAACACUCCUACGUGUAGGAGCUUGACGGUAUCGUAAGAAUAAGGACCGGCUAACUCCGUGCCAGCAGCCGCGGUAAUACGGAGGGUCCAAGCGUUAUCCGGAAUCAUUGGGUUUAAAGGGUCCGUAGGCGGUUUUGUAAGUCAGUGGUGAAAGCCCAUCGCUCAACGGUGGAACGGCCAUUGAUACUGCAAGACUUGAAUUAUUGGGAAGUAACUAGAAUAUGUAGUGUAGCGGUGAAAUGCUUAGAGAUUACAUGGAAUACCAAUUGCGAAGGCAGGUUACUACCAAUAUAUUGACGCUGAUGGACGAAAGCGUGGGGAGCGAACAGGAUUAGAUACCCUGGUAGUCCACGCCGUAAACGAUGGAUACUAGCUGUUCGGAGCAAUCUGAGUGGCUA